AGUGAACGCUGGCGGUAGGCCUAACACAUGCAAGUCGAACGGCAGCACAGUAAGAGCUUGCUCUUACGGGUGGCGAGUGGCGGACGGGUGAGGAAUACAUCGGAAUCUACUUUUUCGUGGGGGAUAACGUAGGGAAACUUACGCUAAUACCGCAUACGACCUACGGGUGAAAGCAGGGGAUCUUCGGACCUUGCGCGAUUGCAUGAGCCGAUGUCGGAUUAGCUAGUUGGCGGGGUAAAGGCCCACCAAGGCGACGAUCCGUAGCUGGUCUGAGAGGAUGGUCAGCCACACUGGGACUGAGACACGGUCCAGACUCCGACGCGAGGCAGCAGUGGGGAAUAUUGGGCAAUGGGCGCAAGCCUGAUCCAGCCAUACCGCGUGGGUGAAGAAGGCCUUCGGGUUGUAAAGCCCUUUUGUUGGGAAAGAAAAGCAGCAGGUUAAUACCCCGCUGUUCUGACGGUACCCAAAGAAUAAGCACCGGCUAACUUCGUG
rnacentral:rRNA from 1 species